AUUGAACGCUGGCGGCAUGCCUUACACAUGCAAGUCGAACGGCAGCACGGGAGCAAUCCUGGUGGCGAGUGGCGAACGGGUGAGUAAUAUAUCGGAACGUGCCCAGUCGUGGGGGAUAACGCAGCGAAAGCUGUGCUAAUACCGCAUACGAUCUAUGGAUGAAAGCAGGGGAUCGCAAGACCUUGCGCGAAUGGAGCGGC
rnacentral:rRNA from 1 species